GAUUUCUUCAACCUUAUUAGUGGAAGCUAGAAGUAGGAAUAAUGAAGAAGAGAAGAGGAGAAGUCGCGGUGGGGUAGGAAGAAGUAGAAGAAGCAGUGGUGGGAGAAGAUCAAGAGGAAGGUCUUCGUCAUCUUCGGGUUGUGAUCCUUUAUUUUCAUACCUCUUUGGAAGUUGUGGUCAGUGGCCUUUCCCUCGUAACGCACAAAACAACCCAUUUACCCAACCAAUUUCCCCUUCACCCUCACCUCGCAUCCCA
rnacentral:misc_RNA from 1 species